UCUUGAAAGGCCUGUCUACACUUGCUGUCUUCCUUCCUCACCUCCAAUUUCCUCUUCAACCCACUGCUUCCUGACUCGCUCUACUCCGUGGAAGCACGCUCACAAAGUUCCUGACCUGGCCAUCCCGGGGUGCCCUUGACCAGCCCCGUGUCUCCUCAGGGUGUCCCAGCACCAGCCUGGCACAGAGUGGGGCUCAGUUAGAGUAUGUGGGAUGUUGGUUUCGCCAGCUCCUUCACUCUCUAGCAGCUGCUGGGGCCCACCUCCCAUGCCGAGGACCAGCAGGGGAAACCUCCAGGGAGCAUCUGCAGGCUCUGCUUCUGCCCGGCUGCUGGCUUGCUCUCCCUGGUGGCUCUCCAGCGGCCAGCUUCCUCACCCACCCGGCACUCCGCUUUGCUCUGUCUCCUGAGGCACGUGGGCCGUGGCCCGGCUGGGUCGGCUGAAGAACUGCGGAUGGAAGCUGCGGAAGAGGCCCUGAUGGGGCCCACCAUCCCGGACCCAAGUCUUCUUCCUGGCGG
ensembl:lncRNA MEG3 maternally expressed 3